UACGUAGGGUGCAAGCGUUGUCCGGAAUUAUUGGGCGUAAAGAGCUCGUAGGCGGUUUGUCGCGUCUGCUGUGAAAACCGAGGCGUCAACCUCCGGACCUGCAGUGGGUACGGGCAGACUAGAGUGCGGUAGGGAGAUUGGAAUUCCUGGUGUAGCGGUGGAAUGCGCAGAUAUCAGGAGGAACACCGAUGGCGAAGGCAGAUCUCUGGGCCGUAACUGACGCUGAGGAGCGAAAAGCUGGGGAGCGAACAG
rnacentral:rRNA from 1 species